rnacentral:rRNA from 1 species
AUUGAACGCUGGCGGCGUGCUUAACACAUGCAAGUCGAUCGGUAACGCGGGGGCAACCCUGGCGACGAGAGGCGGACGGGUGAGGAACGCUUGGGAAUCUGCCCUUCAGCGGGGGACAACACGGGGAAACUCGUGCUAAUACCGCAUACGCUCCACGGAGGAAAGCCGGGGACCGCAAGGCCUGGCACUGAAGGAUGAGCCCAAGUCGAGAUUAGCUAGUUGGCGGGGUAACGGCCACCAAGGCGACGAUCCGUAGCUGGUCUGAGAGGACGAUCAGCCACACUGGGACUGAGACACGGCCCAGACUCCUACGGGAGGCAGCAGUGGGGAAUAUUGGACAAUGGGGGAAACCCUGAUCCAGCGACGCCGCGUGGGUGAAGAAGGCCUGCGGGUUGUAAAGCCCUUUCGGUAGGGACGAAAGCUCUCGACCUAACACGUCGGGAGGUUGACUUAACCUACAAAAGAAGCACCGGCUAACUCUGUGCCAGCCGCCGCCGUAACAC